CGCUUCUUUUUCCACCGGAGCUUGCUCCACCGGAAAAAGAGGAGUGGCGAACGGGUGAGUAACACGUGGGUAACCUGCCCAUCAGAAGGGGAUAACACUUGGAAACAGGUGCUAAUACCGUAUAACAAUCAAAACCGCAUGGUUUUGAUUUGAAAGGCGCUUUCGGGUGUCGCUGAUGGAUGGACCCGCGGUGCAUUAGCUAGUUGGUGAGGUAACGGCUCACCAAGGCCACGAUGCAUAGCCGACCUGAGAGGGUGAUCGGCCACAUUGGGACUGAGACACGGCCCAAACUCCUACGGGAGGCAGCAGUAGGGAAUCUUCGGCAAUGGACGAAAGUCUGACCGAGCAACGCCGCGUGAGUGAAGAAGGUUUUCGGAUCGUAAAACUCUGUUGUUAGAGAAGAACAAGGAUGAGAGUAACUGUUCAUCCCUUGACGGUAUCUAACCAGAAAGCCACGGCUAACUACGUGCCAGCAGCCGCGGUAAUACGUAGGUGGCAAGCGUUGUCCGGAUUUAUUGGGCGUAAAGCGAGCGCAGGCGGUUUCUUAAGUCUGAUGUGAAAGCCCCCGGCUCAACCGGGGAGGGUCAUUGGAAACUGGGAGACUUGAGUGCAGAAGAGGAGAGUGGAAUUCCAUGUGUAGCGGUGAAAUGCGUAGAUAUAUGGAGGAACACCAGUGGCGAAGGCGGCUCUCUGGUCUGUAACUGACGCUGAGGCUCGAAAGCGUGGGGAGCAAACAGGAUUAGAUACCCUGGUAGUCCACGCCGUAAACGAUGAGUGCUAAGUGUUGGAGGGUUUCCGCCCUUCAGUGCUGCAGCUAACGCAUUAAGCACUCCGCCUGGGGAGUACGACCGCAAGGUUGAAACUCAAAGGAAUUGACGGGGGCCCGCACAAGCGGUGGAGCAUGUGGUUUAAUUCGAAGCAACGCGAAGAACCUUACCAGGUCUUGACAUCCUUUGACCACUCUA
rnacentral:rRNA from 1 species